GCUCACAACCAAUAAUACAAUAACAGUGUCUACUGUGUCACAGGUGCAUCAGUUGUAGGCAGAGAGGAGAGAUGCUAUCUGAGUGUUCUGUCCUAUGGACAUCUGAAUGAUUAAUAGCCUCAUAUU
rnacentral:snoRNA from 1 species